AGAGUUUGAUCCUGGCUCAGGACGAACGCUGGCGGCGUGCUUAACACAUGCAAGUCGAACGGAGACUUAGAGGAAGUUUACUUUUUUUAAGUCUUAGUGGCGGACGGGUGAGUAACGCGUGGAUAACCUGCCUAAUAGCUGGGGACAACACCGGGAAACUGGUGCUAAUACCCGAUACGCUCUCUUAAACACAUGUUUGGGAGAGGAAAGGAGCAAUCCGCUAAUAGAUGGGUCCGCGUCCCAUUAGCUAGUUGGAGGUGUAAUGGACCCCCAAGGCGACGAUGGGUAGCCGGCCUGAGAGGGUGGACGGCCACACUGGAACUGAGACACGGUCCAGACUCCUACGGGAGGCAGCAGUGGGGAAUCUUCCGCAAUGGGCGAAAGCCUGACGGAGCAACGCCGCGUGAAUGAUGAAGGCCUUCGGGUCGUAAA
rnacentral:rRNA from 1 species